rnacentral:rRNA from 1 species
GACGAACGCUGGCGGCGUGCCUAAUACAUGCAAGUUGAGCGCUGAAGGUUGGUACUUGUACCAACUGGAUGAGCAGCGCACGGGUGAGUAACGCGUGGGGAAUCUGCCUUUGAGCGGGGGACAACAUUUGGAAACGAAUGCUAAUACCGCAUAAAAACUUUAAACACAAGUUUUAAGUUUGAAAGAUGCAAUUGCAUCACUCAAAGAUGAUCCCGCGUUGUAUUAGCUAGUUGGUGAGGUAAAGGCUCACCAAGGCGAUGAUACAUAGCCGACCUGAGAGGGUGAUCGGCCACAUUGGGACUGAGACACAGCCCAAACUCCUACGGGAGGCAGCAGUAGGGAAUCUUCGGCAAUGGACGAAAGUCUGACCGAGCAACGCCGCGUGAGUGAAGAAGGUUUUCGGAUCGUAAAACUCUGUUGGUAGAGAAGAACGUUGGUGAGAGUGGAAAGCUCAUCAAGUGACGGUAACUACCCAGAAAGGGACGGCUAACUACGUG